ensembl:lncRNA
GUAAGGCUUCCCAGAAGAAGUGGCAUUUGAGAAGCGCCUUCAAUAAGGACCAGUGUCAUCACUGGAAGUGGAACAAUUAGAAAGGGGGUUUGGAUCAGAUGUGUGAGAGUCUUCAAAUACCUGGCCUAGAAGUCAGGCCUCCGUCGUCCUCGUGCGUGUUUGGAAACGUUUACUGGUUCCUUGGUUUAUCGCGCUAUCUGAGUGGUUGGCCCUUCAGUGCCAGUGGAGCCAGCGGUGCACUAGGAUCUCCCGUUAGUGCCUUCAGGCCCGCCGGGAACCUUCCUCUGCACUGCCCUGAUCCCCAGGAGGCUGACCCAUGCAGACUGCAUCAGCUGGGGUGCUGGUUGUGUGUGUGCAUGCCCCGUCACGGAGUUGCGUCUGACCCUUUGUGACCCCAGGGACUGUAGCCCACCGGGCUCCUCUGUCCAUGGGGAUUUCCCAGAUGCAGAGUUCUAAGCCUGGGUCCCUGAAUCACCAUGUGGAGCGAAGCUGCCUGCCAACUAGAAUCACCAGCAUUGGAGCAUGGAGCUGACAUGUGUCCCUCAGGAGGAAGGUAGUGUCAAUAUGAUCUGCUGCUGGAUGAAGCUGAGAACUCACAUAGAAGAACAUACCUCCUUCUUCAAAACUAAGAAUAAGAUGCUCCCAGACUUCCACAGAGAUCUCAAAGGG